rnacentral:tRNA from 1 species
UCUAAGAGUGGCAGAAAAUUGCCAUGAACUUAAAAUUCAUUAAUAAAUUUUUUUAAAAUUUCCUUAGAA